rnacentral:rRNA from 1 species
UGUGUGUUAGUGGAAGCGUCUGGAAAGGCGCGCGAUACAGGGUGACAGCCCCGUACACAAAAAUGCACAUGCUGUGAGCUCGAUGAGUAGGGCGGGACACGUGGUAUCCUGUCUGAAUAUGGGGGGACCAUCCUCCAAGGCUAAAUACUCCUGACUGACCGAUAGUGAACCAGUACCGUGAGGGAAAGGCGAAAAGAACCCCGGCGAGGGGAGUGAAAAAGAACCUGAAACCGUGUACGUACAAGCAGUGGGAGCCUCUUUUAUGGGGUGACUGCGUACCUUUUGUAUAAUGGGUCAGCGACUUAUAUUCUGUAGCAAGGUUAACCGAAUAGGGGAGCCGAAGGGAAACCGAGUCUUAACUGGGCGUUAAGUUGCAGGGUAUAGACCCGAAACCCGGUGAUCUAGCCAUGGGCAGGUUGAAGGUUGGGUAACACUAACUGGAGGACCGAACCGACUAAUGUUGAAAAAUUAGCGGAUGACUUGUGGCUGGGGGUGAAAGGCCAAUCAAACCGGGAGAUAGCUGGUUCUCCCCGAAAGCUAUUUAGGUAGCGCCUCGUGAAUUCAUCUCCGGGGGUAGAGCACUGUUUCGGCAAGGGGGUCAUCCCGACUUACCAACCCGAUGCAAACUGCGAAUACCGGAGAAUGUUAUCACGGGAGACACACGGCGGGUGCUAACGUCCGUCGUGAAGAGGGAAACAACCCAGACCGCCAGCUAAGGUCCCAAAGUCAUGGUUAAGUGGGAAACGAUGUGGGAAGGCCCAGACAGCCAGGAUGUUGGCUUAGAAGCAGCCAUCAUUUAAAGAAAGCGUAAUAGCUCACUGGUCGAGUCGGCCUGCGCGGAAGAUGUAACGGGGCUAAACCAUGCACCGAAGCUGCGGCAGCGACACUAUGUGUUGUUGGGUAGGGGAGCGUUCUGUAAGCCUGUGAAGGUGUACUGUGAGGUAUGCUGGAGGUAUCAGAAGUGCGAAUGCUGACAUAAGUAACGAUAAAGCGGGUGAAAAGCCCGCUCGCCGGAAGACCAAGGGUUCCUGUCCAACGUUAAUCGGGGCAGGGUGAGUCGACCCCUAAGGCGAGGCCGAAAGGCGUAGUCGAUGGGAAACAGGUUAAUAUUCCUGUACUUGGUGUUACUGCGAAGGGGGGACGGAGAAGGCUAUGUUGGCCGGGCGACGGUUGUCCCGGUUUAAGCGUGUAGGCUGGUUUUCCAGGCAAAUCCGGAAAAUCAAGGCUGAGGCGUGAUGACGAGGCACUACGGUGCUGAAGCAACAAAUGCCCUGCUUCCAGGAAAAGCCUCUAAGCAUCAGGUAACAUCAAAUCGUACCCCAAACCGACACAGGUGGUCAGGUAGAGAAUACCAAGGCGCUUGAGAGAACUCGGGUGAAGGAACUAGGCAAAAUGGUGCCGUAACUUCGGGAGAAGGCACGCUGAUAUGUAGGUGAAGCGACUUGCUCGUGGAGCUGAAAUCAGUCGAAGAUACCAGCUGGCUGCAACUGUUUAUUAAAAACACAGCACUGUGCAAACACGAAAGUGGACGUAUACGGUGUGACGCCUGCCCGGUGCCGGAAGGUUAAUUGAUGGGGUCAGCGCAAGCGAAGCUCUUGAUCGAAGCCCCGGUAAACGGCGGCCGUAACUAUAACGGUCCUAAGGUAGCGAAAUUCCUUGUCGGGUAAGUUCCGACCUGCACGAAUGGCGUAAUGAUGGCCAGGCUGUCUCCACCCGAGACUCAGUGAAAUUGAACUCGCUGUGAAGAUGCAGUGUACCCGCGGCAAGACGGAAAGACCCCGUGAACCUUUACUAUAGCUUGACACUGAACAUUGAGCCUUGAUGUGUAGGAUAGGUGGGAGGCUUUGAAGUGUGGACGCCAGUCUGCAUGGAGCCGACCUUGAAAUACCACCCUUUAAUGUUUGAUGUUCUAACGUUGACCCGUAAUCCGGGUUGCGGACAGUGUCUGGUGGGUAGUUUGACUGGGGCGGUCUCCUCCUAAAGAGUAACGGAGGAGCACGAAGGUUGGCUAAUCCUGGUCGGACAUCAGGAGGUUAGUGCAAUGGCAUAAGCCAGCUUGACUGCGAGCGUGACGGCGCGAGCAGGUGCGAAAGCAGGUCAUAGUGAUCCGGUGGUUCUGAAUGGAAGGGCCAUCGCUCAACGGAUAAAAGGUACUCCGGGGAUAACAGGCUGAUACCGCCCAAGAGUUCAUAUCGACGGCGGUGUUUGGCACCUCGAUGUCGGCUCAUCACAUCCUGGGGCUGAAGUAGGUCCCAAGGGUAUGGCUGUUCGCCAUUUAAAGUGGUACGCGAGCUGGGUUUAGAACGUCGUGAGACAGUUCGGUCCCUAUCUGCCGUGGGCGCUGGAGAACUGAGGGGGGCUGCUCCUAGUACGAGAGGACCGGAGUGGACGCAUCACUGGUGUUCGGGUUGUCAUGCCAAUGGCACUGCCCGGUAGCUAAAUGCGGAAGAGAUAAGUGCUGAAAGCAUCUAAGCACGAAACUUGC